GCUCCGUUGGUGAACCAGCGGAGGGAUCAUUACCGAGAUUUUCUAUAUGCAAAUCCUUGUGAACUUAUACCUUUACUGUUGCUUCGGCGGCUUAACGCCCCGGAAGGCUCAAAAAGCCGCCGGCACCAGGCGCUCGCCGGGUUACCCGGACUCUUUUAUUUCUUACUUUUUAAGUCUGAGUCUAACCAUAACCAAAUGCUUCAAAACUUUCAACAACGGGACUCUAGGUUCUGGCAUCGAUGAAGAACGGAACAGCUGUGAAAACGACACAUCUUGACU
rnacentral:misc_RNA from 1 species